rnacentral:tRNA from 2 species
GACAGGAUGGCCGAGUGGUUAAGGCGACAGAUUUGAACUCGUUAUGGCGUUCCGGCUCCCUCCGGCCGCGAUAAGGACAACAUUCCAUCUGUUUCACUUUGUGAGCGUGAGUUCAAACCUCACUCCUGUCG